GACGAACGCUGGCGGCGUGCUUAACACAUGCAAGUCGAGCGGUAAGGCCCUUUCGGGGGUACACGAGCGGCGAACGGGUGAGUAACACGUGGGUGACCUGCCCUCAGCUCUGGGAUAAGCCUGGGAAACCGGGUCUAAUACCGGAUAUGACUCCAUGACGCAUGUUGUGGGGUGGAAAGCCUUGUGCGGCUGAGGAUGGGCCCGCGGCCUAUCAGCUUGUUGGUGGGGUGAUGGCCUACCAAGGCGACGACGGGUAGCCGGCCUCGAGAGGGCGACCGGCCACACUGGGACUGAGACACGGCCCAGACUCCUACGGGAGGCAGCAGUGGGGAAUCUUGCGCAAUGGGCGAAAGCCUGACGCAGCGACGCCGCGUGAGGGAUGAC
rnacentral:rRNA from 1 species